AGAAUGUGAAUUUACGAAUAGAAAAAUGCCGAGGAUUUCACGGAUUAAUAAACAUGAAGAAAUCGAUCCUAAUUCUGAGCGUUCUAGGUUUGUGUGCUAACAGUAUUCAGGUUUGCCAGGAUACACAGAUGAACCUAUGUGAGAAUGGAGGAGAAUGCUUUAUCCAAUCCUCUUCAUUGAGGAAACCAUCUUCAGAUCAGGACGAAUAUCCGAAGGUUCAAACCUGCUCCUGCCCUGAUGGGUUUGGUUUGAAUACA